GUUAAACUGUCAGACAGGAAUCAAUUGGGGUUUGAAAAGUGCCUAGUUAGGGACCUGGGAGAGAUAGGGAUUGGGGUUGGCUAUGCAAGGCAACCUGGUUUAAUUCCCCGAGAGAAAAUAAGAAUACUAGAAGGGCCUCAGAGAGCAUUGCUGGUGUAGUAAUAUUUAUAGCUAGUGUGGAAAUCGUCCUUCCUGAGACAAGUUUUAAAUAAGAGUACUGAAUAAGGUUUUAUAGUUUUCUGUAAAGUGUGUUUGCCUGAAGCUAAGAAUUGUGCCUCUCAUGCAUAACCUCACUGAGUGCAAUUAAAUAAAAAGUCUAUGUUUGUUUCAGAAGUGCCUCCUCAUAUUUCAAACCACUUGGUGUGAGGAAUAAGUGGACACAGGCCAUCCUUCACACAAGUAAAACACUGGUUGCAGUAUAAUAAAGAAAUGAUACCACAAACAGUUUCUAACAAGGAGAGUUGAAACUUUUGAACACCCAGAAAAUCCAGCUCCCAUCUUCCGUGAGGGAGUCUGUCACAGAGGUCUUGCCAGGACAUUGGUAUUGAGUGCAGGGGGUGGAGGGAGGCCAUAUUUAUGUACUUUUUUUAAAGUCUCCAAGUAAUUUCCACAUGUGUUGAGAUCUGGAGAAAAGAGCCCCUUCAAAUAGUUUCUUCAAAUGGGGGUUGUUAAAGUCCUUGAAAUCUCACUUUGAUGGCUGUUUUUUUUACCAUCAAGCUAUAUGGAAAUUUUGUGAAAUGCCUAAAUAACUUAAUAAAUUAUCUUCCUUGGUUGCUUCCAGACGGAAAUUGUCUGCUCUAUGCUGCAUUUCUGCGAUCCCAAUGCACAUUACCUGUUUACUGGGCCUUGCUACUAUUGUGGGAUACAAAAGUGAUUAACAGAUUUGUAACAAAUGCAUGCAGACUCUUCCCCCAUUCCUCUUCUUUCUAGAGCUAAGUUUAAAAUAUUGAAAAGAAUGUCAGCCUUAAGUUUUCAUCUUAAGCAUAAUCUAAAGGAAGUAAUCAGAUGAACUCAGUGAGAUUUAAAUUGUGGAUGGACAUGCUCUGAUAGAACAGGCUACUUGCGCCCAAGUGCUUGCAGUGAUCUGGUCAUACGGAUGCUUCAGCAUCAGGCACAUCACCAAAAAAGAAGAAACACAUAAACAUAAGAGAGCGAAAGAGGACACAGAUUUGGAUAAAAUUAGGAUGUGCUAAUUUAUAUGCAUAGAUGCAAAUUUAGAAAUCGUUACUUUAAUUUAAAUAGAAAUACAAUACAUCUCAGCAUUGUGGGUAAAGACAGUAGUCAGGUGACCUGUGCACCUGCUCAGUCUGCUGUCCAGGUACAAACUGUGGAUAGUAAAUUUCAUGGCUUCUCCAUCUUUAAAUCAGAGUUGGACGGCUGAGCCCUUCAGACAGAGGGCAUUCUCAAACAGGGCUGAUGUCUGAUGGCCCUUUGGAGAGAGGAGUGUCCUCUGCAAAGUAGGACACACGGCCACCCUGUUGUCUUGUUAAACUGCUUUGUAUUUGCCUUUCACUUUAAAAAUAAAGCGCAUGUUACAAUAAUGUCACUUUCCGGUUGGCAUUCUAGUUCAAUAGGUGCUGAUCUCUAAACGGCAGCAAGAUGGCGAUGGAGAAUAAGGAAACAGAGGAUACAUGUCAGAAAAAGAAGGGCCUGAGCUCUAGCUGCCCUAUAACAAAGCCUCUUGCCCAGGGAGCCUCAAAUGAAAUUACUGCACUACACAAGUCUAAGGGUCAAAUGACAUAUGAUAUGUGAUCACUCAACCUCCUGCUGUGUUUUUUAAAAAGGUUAAUAGCAGGCGCCUUUUUGAAAUUAGAACCAGUUCACACAGCCCCUUGGGCUUGUGGCAAACCUGCCCAUUUUCAUUCUGAGGGCAAAGAGUGCUUAUGAUAAACCAGUUCUGUGAAUGGCUCUUAAUAAUAACAACAGGCUAUUAGCUAUGAUCGUCCAAUGGAAUCCGCUGAGGGCCAGGUUCCAGAGGACAAACAAUGGGGAAGACUGAUGCCUUCACACCCCACUUAUGGGCUUCCAAGAAGCAUUUCAGUGAUGGCUCCUGGAAGCAAGGUUCUGAAACAGAUGGAUCCUGGGUGUCUGAUCCAAUUGGGCUUGUCUUCAGUUUUGAGACUAAAAGUUCCCAUAUCACUUAAACCCUCACAGCAGGAGCAUAACUGAAAAAUUGGGAUCUGAAAUUCAUGAUGAGCCACCCACAUGCCCAGUUCACCACAAGCACAUUUUGUACCUGUGGCAAGCGGGGACAGUUUGUGAUUCUUGCCCCAACGACUACUGUAUGUCCAUUGCCGUUUCAGGCGCUAUGUGGCAAUGUGCGUAUUUCAAGCACCUACUGGACACUGCCUUGAAAAUAAACAAUUGUGAGUAUUGCAGCCCACCUAAAAAAACCCCAAAAAACCUGCACUACACCAUAUUCAUAUGAAAAGUUUCUAAAAGCUGUUAUUAUUAUUAUUUUUUUAACAGACUGACUGUUUAUGAAUUACCACCCUGGCAUGAAAACGAACCUAUCCCCCCACCCGUUUUUUAAGGCAAGUGAAUGCAAGAUGUUUCUGUAGCAAUGGCUCACAAACAUUUGCUUUGAAAAUGUUUAGCUCUAUUUUUAUUAUUUUAAAAGCGAAGCUGGAAUGCAUACACCCUGAUAUUUUAAAGGAUGAAUUGCUCUUCUCCAUUAGUUACUUGAGAACCAGAUAUUGCAUGGCUCAAGGCUAGGAGGGCUAUAGUACUAAUAAUAAAAUCCUGUGGUGGUGGUAGAUAUAAUAGAAUCAUAACGUUGGAAAGGACCCAAUGGAGCAUCUAGUCCAACCCCCUGCAAUGCAGAAAUAUGCAGCUGACCCAUACAAGGAUUGAACCUGCAACCUUGGUGUUAUCAGCACCAUGCUCUAACCAACUGAGCUAUCCAGGCAGUGCUAGUAUGUUUGUAUCACCUGGAACAGGAUAAAUUCUCAGAGCACUGAUAACAGCUUCUAGGAACUGGAAUCCAAGAAGAUAACUAGGUUCCCACAAGAGCCUGCCUCUUCAGCUAUAGUUAGCAGCCCCACGGUUAUCUGUCAUCUGGAUGGAGAACCUUAUCAUUAGAUGUUCUUGGGAAAUGAAGAUAAUACCAGUCUUACAAUAUAUCAAAAGUUUUGGCAUUCCACUUGUCAAAUUCUUUAUUUGAUGCCUCCCAUGCUUUAUAAAUUUCAUUUCUUUCAUUUUCAUCAGUGCUGCUAUCAGAUGUGAUGUCGGCUGCUAUUGGUUUCCAGGGGGUGGGAGUGGGGAGGUAUGGGGGGCUGAUACCGGGGAAGUUGGACAGUCACUC